AAAGUGCGAUAGGGGAAUCCCAAGUGCGAGGGCAUAUUAGCCCUCGCUUUUCUCGACUCUAAGGUGGUCGACGAAUAAGAGCUGGGCAAGACCGGUGCCAGCCGCCGCGGUAAUACCGGCAGCUCAAGUGAUGUCCCAUGUUAUUGGGCCUAAAGCGUCCGUAGCUGGCCGACCAAGUCUAUCGGGAAAUCCACCUGCCCAACAGGUGGGCGUCCGGUAGAAACUGGCCGGCUUGGAACCGGAAGGCUCAGAGAGUACGUCCGGGGUAGGAGUGAAAUCCCGUAAUCCCGGACGGACUACCGAUGGCGAAAGCACUCUGAGAAGACGGCUUCGACAGUGAGGGA
rnacentral:rRNA from 1 species